GAAUUCUUUUGGGUUAAAAAAGGUUUUUCAGUUCUUAAUAUGCAUUUUUUUUCCAUCCAUGGCCAACAGAUAUCCCUUAUAUUACCCUUAAACCACGAAAAAAAUUCAAAGAAGAAGAAGAAGGUGCGCAGUAUCAAACAUUCGGACUGAUACUUCUUCAACUUCGAAGCAAAAUGGCCGUUCGACGUCUCUCAGCUUCAGACGCGAGGACGACCGCCCCUGCUUCCUCCCUCACCUCGACGGGGCUCUGGCUCAAGUAGGCAUCAGCGCCUCCAUCGACAGCGACGACUCGAGGCCCGGGGCACGAGAUCUCGCCCGCGCUCAUGAGGGCCAUUGAGGAGUCCCGAAUCGCCCUCCUUGUCUUCUCUGAGAACCACGCUUCGUCCGGGUGGUGCUUGGACGAGCCGGUGAAGGUAAUGGAGUAGAAGAGGCUCAAGGGGACAGCUGGUGUUGCCUGCGUUCCACGGAGUGGAGCCAAGGGAGAUUUGAGGAGGGGGGGAGAGAGACAGAGAGUUAUGGCAAGGCAUUGGUCUGGUACGAGGAGAAAUUGGGAAAGGUGGAUUCUGAGAAGGUGAAGAAAUGGAGGCAAGCCCUAAUUGAAGCCGCCCAUUUGUCCGGUUGGCAUUAUUAUGUCGAUGGGUAAUCAGAGUAUUCCUGUUCGACCCUGUGGAAGAAUUGGGAACCAAUGCUGUUAGAGGCAAAGUGCUGGACUUGCCAACACAAGUAGAGCUAGACAUCAAUCCGAGUGCUUUCACACAUAUGAGGAGACUGAGAUUGCUCCUAUUUCUAAAUGCACAGCUUAGCGGAGAUCCCGUAUAUCUUCCUAAAGAUUUAAGGUGGCUUGAAUGGCCUGAAUAUCCUUUAUCAACUCUAAGGUUGGUGCUAGUCUAAAGAAACUUGUUUGGUUUGAUGUGCAUAACAGCAGGAUUAAAGAAUUAGGAGAUAAUUUAAAAGUACAUCAUACAUGCUUUUAUUGUCGGUUUCCAUUUUAGGUGCCUUUCAUAAAGUGAAAUUUAUCAAAAUCUUGUUCAGCUGUUCUUUUUAAUUUGCAGCAUUUUAGAAAUUUGAAGUUCCUAAUUUUCAGCUGCUGUAAGUCUCUAAUUAGUGUUCCAGACUUCUCAAAGGUGCCAAAUUUGGAGGCAGUGAACUUAAGUGGGUGCUUGAACCUCAAGGUGCUUCCAAGCAAACCAAAGCUGAAAUAUCUUUAAAACUUGAUGUAACUAGCUGCUCUUGUUAGUAGGUCUGCGUUGAUAUCUAUCAUAAUCUUAUCUUGUUGGUAGGUCUGCAUUGAUAUCUAUUUGUCUUUUUUUCCCCCUCAAAUAUAGUAUGUUGUUUGUUUUUAUGUUGCUCUAGUAGCGACUUGUGGUCUUCACAGGUUUAGAAGUUCCAUGGUUGGAUCGUUGAAGUCAAUUCUUGAAAACAGUAAUUAGCAGGAGACUCUAAUCAAGCCUAACAUAUUACGAGAGACAGCAGACCAAGGGGGGAGAGUUUGUGUUUGUAUUUGAAAAUAUGUGAAAUUCUUGUUAUGUGCCACUUGAGAAGGUAACGUUGUUGGAGUUGUGAAUAUUUUUCCUUUCUGUAUACUACUAGAAAGAAUGAUGUGAACAUGACUUUGUUUUCUUAGUAAUGAGAGAUUAGAAAUGAGAAACUAAGUUUCAGAUGGAUGGCCUCAAUUGAAUGUCAACUGAUCCCAUGUUUAUAAUGCAUCAAUUGUGGGUGCACAGAUGGACAAAUUCUUGCAUGCUAGAAUUGCUCGGACGGAUGACCUACACAUCAGAGAUGGUGGGUAGCUUUGUUGAGUAAAUGGUACUCAGAGAGGGCAUGAAUCCAAGAAGCUCACUCUCUCUACAAAGAAAUGGGUGGUGAUUCUAAGAAUCACAUACAGACAAAAGGCUUCUCUAGAAAACAAUCUAGAACAUUCUUGUACAAUCAAACUUUAGGAUUUUCCAAGUCUCAACUGUUGAUCACGAACAAAAAUUAAGAAUCUCUCUCUCUUCACCUAUAAGAGAUUCCUUUACCUUCAA